UACGGAGGGGGCAAGCGUUGUUCGGAAUCACUGGGCGUAAAGGGCGCGUAGGCGGCCUGGUAAGUCAGGGGUGAAAUCCCACGGCUCAACCGUGGACCUGCGCUGGAAACUACAUGGCUUGAGGACGGUAGAGGGAGACGGAACUGCUGGUGUAGGGGUGAAAUCCGUAGAUAUCAGCAGGAACGCCGGUGGAGAAGUCGGUCUCCUGGGCCGUUCCUGACGCUGAGGCCCGAAAGCUAGGGGAGCAAACCGG
rnacentral:rRNA from 1 species